rnacentral:rRNA from 1 species
UGGGAAUUUUGGACAAUGGGCGCAAGCCUGAUCCAGCAAUGCCGCGUGCAGGAUGAAGGCCUUCGGGUUGUAAACUGCUUUUGUACGGAACGAAAAGCCUCUCUCUAAUACAGGGGGUGAUGACGGUACCGUAAGAAUAAGCACCGGCUAACUACGUGCCAGCAGCCGCGGUAAUACGUAGGGUGCAAGCGUUAAUCGGAAUUACUGGGCGUAAAGCGUGCGCAGGCGGUUUUGUAAGACAGUGGUGAAAUCCCCGGGCUCAACCUGGGAACUGCCAUUGUGACUGCAAGGCUGGAGUGCGGCAGAGGGGGAUGGAAUUCCGCGUGUAGCAGUGAAAUGCGUAGAUAUGCGGAGGAACACCGAUGGCGAAGGCAAUCCCCUGGGCCUGCACUGACGCUCAUGCACGAAAGCGUGGGGAGCAAACAGGAUUAGAUACCCUGGUAGUCCACGCCCUAAAACGAUGUCAACUGGUUGUUGGGGAUUUAUUUCUUCAGUAACGAAAACUAACGCGUGAAGUUGACCGCCUGGGGGAGUACGGCCGCAAGGUUAAAAACUUAAAUGAAUUGACGGGGUCUAGCUGUUCCU